UAAUAGCUCAGUUGGUCAAGCAUUAGACUUUGAAUCUUCGGGGCAUGGGUUUGAGUCCCAUGUUGGAUGAA